rnacentral:rRNA from 1 species
UACGUAGGGACCGAGCGUUGUCCGGAAUCAUUGGGCGUAAAGAGCGUGUAGGCGGCUUGUUAAGUCUUGCGUGAAAUCUCGGGGCUCAACCCCGAGCGGUCGUGAGAAACUGGCAGGCUAGAGUGCGGGAGAGGAGAGUGGAAUUCCUGGUGUAGCGGUGAAAUGCGCAGAUAUCAGGAAGAACACCGGUGGCGAAGGCGGGUCUCUGGGCCGAUACUGACGCUGAGGAGCGAAAGCGUGGGGAGCGAACAGG